CUCUCUUUCUUUUUUGGAACAAGGACUUGCUCUGUCACCCAGGCUGGAGUGUAAUGGUGUGAUCAUGGCUCACUGCAGCCUCCAACUCCUGGGCUCAAGCAAUCUUCCUUCCUCAACAUCCCCAGUACCUAGGACUACAGACACAGCCUCACUCUGUCCUCCAGUCUGGAGUAUAGUGGCACACUGCAUUCUUCACCUCCUGGGCUCAAGUGAUCCUCCUACCUCAGUCUCCUGAGCAGCUGGGACUACAGGCGCCCACCACCAUGCCCGACUAACUUUUUUCGUAUUUUUUUAGAGAUGGGGUUUCACCAUGUUGCCCAGGUUGGUCUGGAACUCCUGGGCUCAAGCAGUCCACCUUCCCUGACCUCCCAAAGUGUUGGGAUUACAGGCGUGAGCCACUGCACCCAGCCUUGUAUAAGUACCUUUUUUUUUUUUUUUUGAGACGGAGUUUCACUCUUGUUGCCCAGGCUAGAGUGCAAUGGCUCAAUCUCUGCUCAACACAACCUCCCCCUCCGGGUUCAAGUGAUUCUCCUGCCUCAGCCUCCCGAGUAGCUGGGAUUACAGGCGUAAGCCACCACGCCUGGCUAAUUUUUGUAUUUUUAGUAGAGAUGGGGUUUCACCAAAUUGGCCAGGCUGGUCUCGACCUGCUGACCUUGUGAUCCGCCUGCCUUGGCCUCCCAAAGUGCUGGGAUUACAGACGUGAGCCACCGCGCCGGCCUGUAUAAGUAUCUUAUAAUCAUAUUGUAUCCCACUUUUUCCCACAAAUGAUACACACGUUACCUACAUCGUUCAGUGUUAUGUUUUCAGAUCUUGGAAGCUGUUUCGUUUCAGUACAUUUGAGCUUCCUGGGAUCUUUUCUGUGGCUACAUAAUUUUCCGUUGUAGAACUGUAUGUGAUUUAAUUAAACAGCCCCCUAUUGAUGGACAUUUGAGUUGUUUCCAGUCUCUUGCUCUUAAAAACAGCACUGCGGCUGGGCAUGGUGGCUCACGCCUGUAAUCUCAACAUUUUGGGAGUCCGAGGCAGGUGGAUCACGAGGUCAGGAGUUCGAUACCAGCCUGGCCAACUUGGUGAAACCCCAUCUCUACUAAAAAUACAAAAAUUACCCGGGUGUGGUGGCUCACGCCUGUAAUCCCAGCUACUCGGGAUGCUGAGGCAGGAGAAUUGCUUGAACCUAGGAGGCGGAGGUUGCAGUGAGCCGAGAUUGUGCCAUUGCACUCCAGCUCUGGGCAACAGAGCAAGACUCCAUCUUGGGGAAAACAAACAAACAAACAAAAAAACGGGCCGGGCAUGGUGGCUCAUGCCUGUAAUCCCAGCACUUUGGGAGGCUGAGACGGGCAGAUCACGAGGUCAGAAGAUUGAGACCAUCCUGGCUAACACGGUGAAACCCCGUCUCUACUAAAAAUACAAAAAAAAAAUUAGCCGGGAAUGGUGGUGGGCGCCUGUAGUCCCAGCUACUCGGGAGGCUGAGACAGGAGAAUGGUGUGAACUCGAGGGGUGGAGCUUGCAGUGAGCUGAGAUCGCGCUACUGCACUCUAGCCUGGGCGACAGAGGAGAGUCCGUCUCAAAAAAAAAAAAAAAAAAAAAAAAAAAACCACUGCAGUUAAGACCCCUGUACUGUCUUGUGUGUCAGUCCUGGGAAGAUCUGUGAAUGGCCUGAGAAGGAGGAGAGAGGUUUGGGCUGGGGGCCAGGAGAUUGGGGUUUUCAUCCUGAUGCUACAACUAAUUAUGCAGCCCAGCUCACUCAUCUCCUGGCAUCUCCAUGUUGCCAGUCUUUCAUUCGUUCAAAAAUAGUUACUCAAACCUACCAUUCCAGAUGCUGGUGAACAAGCAGCAAACAAGACAGACAUAGUCCCUGUUCUCAUAGCCCUGACAUUUUAAUGGGGGAGGCAGAGACAAAUAAUAAACAAGUACACAAAUAAACGCAGAAUAUAAUGGCAGAAGGUGAACCUCAACAAAUACCAGGGUAAGGAGUCUGAUUUGGUGGGGUACGGGGAGACUUUAGAUAAAAUGUUCAGGACCCACAGAGGUGGCACGUGAACAGCUAUGCCAAGAUCUGAGAUCAGCUAUGUCAAGAUCCCAAAGUGCUAGGAUUACAGGCAUGAGCCACUGCACUUAGCCCAAUAAAGUUGAUUUUUAAAAAAAAAACAUAACAGCUCCCUCCCCCUCCCCCAUCCCCCUCCCCCUCCCCCUCACCCGCUCCCUCUUUCUUUCUUCGGUCUCCUUCUGUUGCCAAGGCUGGACUGUACUGCCGUGGUCUCGGCUCGCUGCAGCCUCCCUGCCCCGGGCUCCCCUGGUUCUCCUGCCUUGGCCUGCCGAGUGCCUGGGAUUGCGGGCACGCGCCGCCACGCCUGACUGGUUUUUGUAUAUUUGGAGGAGACACGGUUUCGCCCUGUUGACUGGGCUGGUCUCUGGCUCCUGACCUCGAGUGGUCUGCCCGCCUCGGCCUCCUGGGGUACUGGGAUUGCAGACGGAGUCUCGGUCACUCAGUGCUCAGUGUUGCCCAGGCUGGAAUGCAGUGGCGUGAUCUCGGCUCGCUGCAACCUCCACCUUCCAGCCGCCUGCCUUGGCCUCCCAAAGUGCUAAGAUUACAGCCUCUGCCCGGCCGCCCCGUCUGGGAAGCGAGGAGCACCUCUGCCUGGCCGCCCCGUCUGGGAAGCGAGGAGCCCCUCUGCCCGGCUGCCACCCUGUCUGGGAGGCGAGGAGCGCCUCUGCCCUGCCGCCACCCCGUCUGGGAGGUGAGGAGCGCUUCUGCCCGGCCACCACCCCGUCUGGGAGGUGAGGAGCGCCUCUGCCUGGCCGCCACCCUGUCUGGGAUGUGAGGAGCACCUCUGCCCGGCCGCCACCCCAUCUGGGAGGAGUGCCUCUACCCGGCCGCCCCGUCUGUGAAGUGGGCGCCUCUGCCCAGCCACCCCGUCUGGGAGGUGAGGGGCGUCUCUGCCCGGCUCCCCCGUCUGGGAGGUGGGGAGCACCUCUGCCUGGCCGCCCUUCAUCUGGGAGGUGGGGGGCGCCUCUGCCCGGACACCCCGUCUGGGAGGUGGGGGGCGUUUCUGCCCGGCUGCCCCAUCAGGGAGGUGGGGGGCGCCUCUGCCCGGCUGCCCAUCGUCUGGGAUGUGAGGGGCGCCUCUGCCCAGCCACCACCCCUUCUGGGAGGUGAGGAGCGCCUCUGCCAGGCCGCCCCGCCUGGGAAGUGUACCCAACAGCUCCGAAGAGACAGCGACCAUCGAGAAAGGGCCAUGAUGACGAUGGCGGUUUUGUCG
rnacentral:lncRNA from 10 species